AGUCGAGCGGAGUUGAUAGGAAGCUUGCUUCCUUGAUACUUAGCGGCGGACGGGUGAGUAACACGUAGGCAACCUGCCCUCAAGUUUGGGACAACUACCGGAAACGGUAGCUAAUACCGAAUAAUUGUUUUCUUCGCCUGAAGGAAACUGGAAAGACGGAGCAAUCUGUCACUUGGGGAUGGGCCUGCGGCGCAUUAGCUAGUUGGUGGGGUAACGGCUCACCAAGGCGACGAUGCGUAGCCGACCUGAGAGGGUGAUCGGCCACACUGGGACUGAGACACGGCCCAGACUCCUACGGGAGGCAGCAGUAGGGAAUCUUCCGCAAUGGGCGAAAGCCUGACGGAGCAAUGCCGCGUGAGUGAUGAAGGUUUUCGGAUCGUAAAGCUCUGUUGCCAGGGAAGAACGCUUGGGAGAGUAACUGCUCUCAAGGUGACGGUACCUGAGAAGAAAGCCCCGGCUAACUACGUGCCAGCAGCCGCGGUAAUACGUA
rnacentral:rRNA from 1 species